AAGCCUGAGCUGAUUCAAGAUUAGACAUACAGAUGAAGAACGCAGUAGGAUCUGCUAAUGAAGAAGUUUGGUUUGGCUGACAGCUUGCGGUGGCAGUCUCUUUAGAAGAGUCUAUGAAUAAUUUAACAGCUGAUGUGGAGAUGGAAUUCGUUUAACUUUACAUAACCUCUACUCGCAGCGGGUCUUCAGUUUCCUACAAGCAUAAUCUACCUUCUCAUCUCCACUGCCCUUCACUCAAUGGCGGACAUGGGAAUCGUUUCCACUGAUGAGGAAAAGCCAGAAAUCUGCCACCCUCCAUCUCUCCAGUUCAUUUUUUUCAAAGGCUCAAUAUGAUAAAAGGCAAGUGAUGAUGUACAUAAUCUCCAUUCUAUCAUCUAUUCAUGUAUAAAUGUAUGC